ACCAGGCAUGGUGGCGCAUGCCUGUAAUCCCAGAAGCUCAGGAGGCUGAGACAGGAGGAUCGAGUUCAAAUCCAGUCUCAG
rnacentral:sRNA from 1 species